rnacentral:rRNA from 1 species
GGACCGGGAUGGACAUACCUCUGGUGUACCAGUUGUUCUGCCAAGAGCACCGCUGGGUAGCUACGUAUGGAUUAGAUAAUCGCUGAAAGCAUCUAAGUGAGAAACUAACCUCGAGAUGAGAUUUCCCAUUCGUCAGAAGUAAGACCCCUGAGAGACGAUCAGGUAGAUAGGCUAGAAGUGGAAGUGUAGUGAUGCAUGGAGCGGACUAGUACUAAUAGGUCGAGGACUUAACCAAG